ACUACUCAGGAGCUGCUUCUUGGUUUCUGUUGGCAUCCCUCUUCGCAUCUUUUCUCAAUAAUACGGAAAACUGUAAAGGCUGCCAAUGUUACCUGAGGACCUGUGUGCAUGUGUGUGGGGGAGGGGUCUCAGCAUCUGGCCGCUGACCCCACACAGCUGUUUCUACUCUAUCAUAUCGCCACAGAGUGGAAGCAACGUUUCUUUGAAGAUUCCACCCUUCUCAGCCUUCAUCCUGAGAGGGAAGAUUCCAGUAAUGCAGAAUAUCUCUUAUUGGAUCAACUCUUCCAUGGACCAUACAUAAGUAUAAAUACUAGACAAAAUUAAAAAAAAAAAAA